GCGGACGUGGUGAAAUUGGUAGACACGCCAGAUUUAGGUUCUGGUGCCGAAAGGUGUGAGAGUUCGAGUCUCUCCGUCCGCACCA
rnacentral:tRNA from 3 species